GCCGGGCGUUGUGGCGGGCGCCUGUGUUCCCAGCUACUUGGGAGGCGGAGGCAGGAGACUCGCUUGAGCCCAGGAGUUGGAGGUUGCUGUGAGCUGUAAUGCCACGGCACUCUGCCCAGGGGGACAGCUUGAGGCUCUGUCUCCAAAAAAAAAAAAAAAAAUGAUGAAGCCUUUACCUCUCUAAUGUUUUGUUUUUUUGUUUUUUUGUUUUUUUGAGACAGAGCCUCAAGCUGUCCCCCUGGGCAGAGUGCCGUGGCAUUACAGCUCACAGCAACCUCCAACUCCUGGGCUCAAGCGAGUCUCUUGCCUCCGC
rfam:Otolemur garnettii contig152583, whole genome shotgun sequence.